AUUGAACGCUGGCGGCAGGCUUAACACAUGCAAGUCGAGCGAGCGGCGGACGGGUGAGUAAUGUCUGGGAAACUGCCUGAUGGAGGGGGCUAACUACUGGAAACGGUAGCUAAUACCGCCUACUAUCGGAUGUGCCCCGAUGGGAUUAGUUAGAAGGUGGGGUAACGGCUCACCUAGGCGACGAUCCCUAGCCGGUCUGAGAGGAUGACCAGCCACACUGGAACUGAGACGCGGUCCAGACUCCUGCGGAAGGCAGCAGUGGGGAAUAUUGCACAAUGGGCGCAAGCCUGAUGCAGCCAUGCCGCGUGUGUGAAGAAGGCCUUCGGGUUGUAAAGCACUUUCAGCGAGGAGGCGUUACUCGCAGAAGAAGCACCGGCUAACUCCGUGCCAGCAGCCGCGGUAAUUC
rnacentral:rRNA from 1 species